AUCCCCAACUCUCGGGUGCGGCGGACGCCGGCCGGCCGCUCCUCCGGGGUUGGCUGCUCGGCCGCUCAGCCGCGCUCUGAUUGGUAAACCGGCCGCACGCCCCUGGUAAAUAGAGCUCAGGCCGGAAGGGCGGGCGGGCACGAACGCUCUCUCACUCCCGAUUGGUGUGCGCGGAUGUCACUCGGGCCUCCUCAUUGGCAGAGAUCGGCCCCAACAGGCCGCAACCGCUGCUGAUUGGUCUCCGCCUUUCGGACCUCGCACCUGUCUGCUCCGGAUUGGGCGGUAGCUGACGCCCUACGCAAUUGGCGAGUUCGGGGUCCGGGCCGGCGCGCUCUCAAUCCGAUUAGUCCCAAGGCCCGAGAGGCGGGGCCUUGGAAGCCGGGACCCGGGUCCGGUCGGCCGCGUUUUGCGCGGAGGGGUCUUCCCGGCGCGGGCGCCGCCUUCACGCUUCACUGGCGCUGCUCUGCACGUCAGCUCCGCACCGCCUGCUCUCGGUCCAGUUGGGGCUGCUAUCACUGCCGGCGCCAGCACCGCGCGCGCCUUUCCACUGCACUGAAUGCCGGAGGACGCAGGGCUUUGACGUGCGGAGCCCUGCGUCUCACCCCGUGCGCUUUUACGUCACCUUUCGCCGGCUCCACACCCUUUCCCCGGCCUGCGCAUGCGCCCUCCUAAAGCUUCCGUUUGUUCCUAUGGCAACGGGUCCCUCAUCGACGCUGCCUCCGCGCCUCUCGGGUUUGCCUCGUCCUUUGGUCUAAGCUCGUGUUAGGUCCGAGGGCGGCCUCAAAGACCCCUCAGCCAGUCCUCCAAGACUCCGAGCCUGGGCCUCCUACUGGCAACAGCAGGAUCAUCUCGCCUUCGUUGAAUUCUCGCCGCUCGCCGGGCCCUGUACCAAACCGAUCUUGGGUGAGAGCACCAAGUGGAGCGAGGCUGAUGGUUCGAAUCUCACCCCACCGCACCAGCGAUUUCCCCUUGGGCAAGUUACCCUAGCAUUUUCUGACUCCAUCCUCCAUCCUUGUGCGGGACACUGAUGAUAUGGAAAUGAACUGGCCGUGGCUUCUCUCCUCAAGGAGCUCCUGGUCUCAAGGAGAGACAGACAGGAAAGCAAAGGCACACAGCACAAUAAGACAAUGUGGAGACUGGUAUACAGGAUGCAUUGGAACUAAGAGGAAGGAGCCUGCUUGGUGACAUCACAGGAGUCUUUGCAGAGGAGGCAGCUUUCAAUUGGCGAAUGAACAAACUGUGAUAUAUCCGUAUAAGGGACUAUUUAUUCAGCAAUAAAAGGAAAUCAUCUAUCUAGCUCUGAAAAGACACAGGUAGGCAUAUUUCUAAGCGAAAGAAGCCAGUCUGAAAAAGCUAUGCGCUGUAUGGUUCCAAUUGUAUGACAUUCUGGAAAAGACAAACUCAUACAUGAGGUAAACAGAUUACUGGGUGCCGGGGGUGGUGAGGGGUAGAGUUAAAUGAGUGACAUCGGGGAUUUUUUUUUUUUUUUUUUUUUUUUUUUAAGGCAGUGAAGUUAUUUUGUAUGGUAGGAUUGAGACAGCCUCACUAAAGGGGUGGGGGAGUAAGGUGCUAAUCUGGAAAUGGGCGGAGUCUGUAAGUGAAUGUAAAGGAGCUGCGGGUAAGCAUCAACUUUAGUUGAUGAAGCGGUUUUCUGUGGCAGUAUGGGUUAACAAUUGUGAAGCCACAGCACAUGUACACUAGAAUUGACAGUUAAGUCAGGAUGGAUGAUUUCUUAUUGUUGGAAUAAGUAGUGACAGGUAAGCAUGUGGAGGAGGCUAACACGAUCAAGGUUGGAACUGGAGAUAUCAGUAUGAACUCAUGUUUAGCUCAAUGUAGAUACAGUUGGUUACAUAGAGAAAUUAUAUAAAGACUGCAUAUACACAGAUUAGUGUACAUGGGUAUCUCCUCUGUCUGCUGAGAGGGCCUAGAAGCAACUUAGCACCCAGAUCUUGGUUUCUAAUAGCAUUCUCCAAUAAAAUGAACCAGAGUUCCUUGGAGAAAUGGCUAAUUCUAAGACUGGGGUAGGAAAUAUACAAGAUGAUCUUGGAAGAAAAAAAACAAAACAAAAAAAGCCAAAAACCUCACAAAACCCCAAACCCACCACACCCCAAAAUCCCAAACCCCAAAUGCUAACAUGAUGGGUAUAUACCAAAGGGAUACAGGAGCCAGCUGAAAGGGCUGCCAGUGGCCAAAGCUGGAGCAAUUUGAACAAAAUUUUAAAAAGAAUAGGAUUAUAACUUGCAUAAAAUAAAUAUCUAUAAGCCUAUACUGAUAUAUAUAUAUGUAUAUUUAUGUAUAUCAUUUAUACAUAUAAAUGGUUGAGUAAAUAAAGGUGGAGAUAUUAUAUAUUGAUAUGUAAUGUCUAGGAUGUAAUUAUAUGUAUGUAAGUAGAUGUAAUUAUAUAACAUAUAUCAUAUAUAACUUAUAUGGUAUAUCAUAUAUAUAUAUAAAUGGUUGAGUAAACAAAUAAAGGAAGAGAAGAGACAAAUCUA